UGCAGAAUCCCGUGAACCAUCGAGUCUUUGAACGCAAGUUGCGCCCGAAGCCAUUAGGCCGAGGGCACGUCUGCCUGGGCGUCUCGC
rnacentral:rRNA from 1 species